ACAGCAAACUAAAUUUACAGCCCCAUUCUGCCCCUUUCCAGGGGUGUGCUCUCAAAAGGGGUCAGUUUACGCAAGGGAUUAGGAAGAAUGAGAUGCCUUUUUUGGAAAUGAUGAUGCAUAUGUAUUUUCGAAUGUUGAAAAUACAUAGGUGUGAAUACCAGGAAGAUGUGGCGGGGGACUGUGAGGCAGAGGUGUCCCUCACAUGGAAGGACAAAGACUAAGGGAACUUCUGUGCAGAUGGCGCCAAGGUUAACUCAAGGAGGCUGCGGGGAUUCCUCAUCUUAGCCCUUAUGUGAACCACCUGCGGCAAGGACUGUCUCCUGCCUUCUUUGGGAAGC
rnacentral:lncRNA from 1 species